rnacentral:rRNA from 1 species
GAUGAACGCUGGCGGCGUGCUUAACACAUGCAAGUCGAACGGGAUCCAUCAAGCUUGCUUGGUGGUGAGAGUGGCGAACGGGUGAGUAAUGCGUGACCGACCUGCCCCAUACACCGGAAUAGCUCCUGGAAACGGGUGGUAAUGCCGGAUGUUCCAGUUGAUCGCAUGGUCUUCCGGGAAAGCUUUCGCGGUAUGGGAUGGGGUCGCGUCCUAUCAGCUUGACGGCGGGGUAACGGCCCACCGUGGCUUCGACGGGUAGCCGGCCUGAGAGGGCGACCGGCCACAUUGGGACUGAGAUACGGCCCAGACUCCUACGGGAGGCAGCAGUGGGGAAUAUUGCACAAUGGGCGCAAGCCUGAUGCAGCGACGCCGCGUGAGGGAUGGAGGCCUUCGGGUUGUAAACCUCUUUUAUCGGGGAGCAAGCGUGAGUGAGUUUACCCGUUGAAUAAGCACCGGCUAACUACGUGCCAGCCGCCGCGGUAA